rnacentral:rRNA from 1 species
CGGAGGAUCCAAGCGUUAUCCGGAUUUAUUGGGUUUAAAGGGUGCGUAGGCGGAAUGAUAAGUCAGUGGUGAAAGCCUGCAGCUUAACUGUAGAAUUGCCGUUGAUACUGUUGUUCUUGAGUAUAUUUGAUGUGGGCGGAAUGUGUCAUGUAGCGGUGAAAUGCUUAGAUAUGACACAGAACACCGAUUGCGAAGGCAGCUCACAAAACUAUAACUGACGCUGAGGCACGAAAGCGUGGGGAUCAAACAGGAUUAGAUACCCUGGUAAUCCACGCUGUAAACUAUGAUUACUCGAUGUUUGCGAUACACUGUAAGCGUCUAAGCGAAAGCGUUAAGUAAUCCACCUGGGGAGUACGCUCGUAAGAGUG